rnacentral:rRNA from 1 species
UACAGGGGGUGAGAGCGUUAUUCGGAAUUACUGGGCGUAAAGCGUGCGUAGACGGUCAUGUAAGUCGGGUGUGAAAUCCACGGGCUCAACCUGGGAAUUGCAUUCGAGACUGCGUGGCAAGGGUGCGGAAGAGGGAAGCGGAAUUUCCGGUGUAGCGGUGAAAUGCGUAGAUAACGGAAGGAACAUCAGUGGCGAAAGCGGCUUCCUGGUCCAGCACCGACGUUCAGGCACGAAAGCGUGGGGAGCAAACAGG